rnacentral:rRNA from 1 species
UGCGGAAGGAUCAUUACCGAGUGUAGGGUUCCUAGCGAGCCCAACCUCCCACCCGUGUUUACUGUACCUUAGUUGCUUCGGCGGGCCCGCCAUUCAUGGCCGCCGGGGGCUCUCAGCCCCGGGCCCGCGCCCGCCGGAGACACCACGAACUCUGUCUGAUCUAGUGAAGUCUGAGUUGAUUGUAUCGCAAUCAGUUAAAACUUUCAACAAUGGAUCUCUUGGUUCCGGCAUCGAUGAAGAACGCAGCGAAAUGCGAUAACUAGUGUGAAUUGCAGAAUUCCGUGAAUCAUCGAGUCUUUGAACGCACAUUGCGCCCCCUGGUAUUCCGGGGGGCAUGCCUGUCCGAGCGUCAUUGCUGCCCAUCAAGCACGGCUUGUGUGUUGGGUCGUCGUCCCCUCUCCGGGGGGGACGGGCCCCAAAGGCAGCGGCGGCACCGCGUCCGAUCCUCGAGCGUAUGGGGCUUUGUCACCCGCUCUGUAGGCCCGGCCGGCGCUUGCCGAACGCAAAUCAAUCUUUUCCAGGUUGACCUCGGAUCAGGUAGGGAUACCCGCUGAACUUAAGCAUAUCAAUAAGCGGAGGAAAAGAAACCAACCGGG